GAAAAACCAGCCAAGCUUGUGAGAUCCUGAAAGACACAGUCAACAGUGACCCGGCUGGCUGGAGACGGAGGUGGGCUCCGGGACCCUGGACUUCUCGCCUUGGCUCUCUGCCUUCUUUUAUAAAAGGAGGUCAUUUGAGUUCUACAGAUAUUCAUUGCGCUUCUAACACACCCCAGCGGAGGACGGACACACACGUCUCUGGGUCUGGCAUGGUCCAGUUUUGUUCACUGUUCAGUCUCUAAGUUGUGUCCGACUCUUUGCGACCCCAUGGACUGCAGCACGCCAGGCUUCCCUGUCCUUCACCAUCUCCCAGAGUUUGCUCAAAUUCAUGUCAAUUGAGUCAGAAAUGAUGGAUGAUGCUAACUCCCUGAAGACCCUGAGCACGGAGCCCCAGACCUCCUGGAGCCUAAGGAUGGCUGACCCUGUGACCCCUCCUGCCACCUCACCGUCAGUCCUGCGGAGAAUUGGGCGCCUGUUGACUCCCCUCCCUCACCUGGUUUUUAAAAGUGGUUUGCUCAAAACCCUUCGGGGAGUUCUGGCUUUUUAGGCGUGAACCACCCUUCUCUGCUCCAGACUCUGAUGGCUCAGUUUGUUUGGCCUCACUGUGCAUCGUCCACAUGAACUUGAGUUAACAUUUUUGAGUGCCUAGACUUAGCCAUACCUGAGGUUUUCCGGCCCCUGGACUUAAUGGUGAUGUCCCCCAACAGAUUC